rnacentral:rRNA from 1 species
AUUGAACGCUGGCGGCAUGCCUUACACAUGCAAGUCGAACGGUAACAGGUCUUCGGAUGCUGACGAGUGGCGAACGGGUGAGUAAUACAUCGGAACGUGCCUAGUAGUGGGGGAUAACUACUCGAAAGGGUGGCUAAUACCGCAUGAGAUCUACGGAUGAAAGCAGGGGAUCGCAAGAACUUGUGCUACUAGAGCGGCCGAUGGCAGAUUAGGUAGUUGGUGGGAUAAAAGCUUACCAAGCCGACGAUCUGUAGCUGGUCUGAGAGGACGAUCAGCCACACAGGGACUGAGACACGGCCCAGACUCCUACGGGAGGCAGCAGUGGGGAAUUUUGGACAAUGGGCGAAAGCCUGAUCCAGCAAUGCCGCGUGCAGGAUGAAGGCCUUCGGGUUGUAAACUGCUUUUGUACGGAACGAAAAGCCCCGGGUUAAUACCCUGGGGUCAUGACGGUACCGUAAGAAUAAGCACCGGCUAACUACGUGCCAGCCGCCGCCGUAA